AGGAACGGACAGACCGGGACAUAGAGCCAAAAGACUGAGGCACGGACAUCCAGGGAAACGAGGACUGCGUCUGAGCAGGAUGAUAAGGAGGGAGAGGAACGGGCGGGAGAAGAAGCAACCACAGCCUCAGUGACAACAUGCAUGUAAGACUCCAUUCACUGUGGAGGGGAACACUGCUUGUGACCCAGGGGGUAAGUAAUUAUCACAAUGGAAUCAUUUUACUGCUCAUGAAUAAUAGUAUGGACAUCAGAUAGAAACAUCCAAUUGUGCUUGCUGUUUAUACCUAAUUAUGACUGCCUGAGGCAAUCAGGAAUAAAAAGUAGACAGUUUGCGUACUGUCGUUAAUGAUGCAAGGACUGUCACAUUUGUGCAGUCCAAACAACAGAAUUGGUGAAGAUCCAAAAGAUGGGCAAAAAAUAGAA